GACUUUCGUCAGUCUGGAACGAAUUGUGCUGUAAUAAAGAGCUUCGUGAACUAGAUCCUUUUGUGCUGACAUUUUUAGCGAAAACUUUUCAGAAUAAUUCCUGUAUUUACCUUCUAUGAAUUUGCGUGGACAUCGUGGUCUCUUACAAUUGAACAACGUUUGAGUCUAUUGUUGCAUUGUUGGACUGUUUACUGGUGUUACCAACAGGACGACUUGAAUUAAAACGAACGUAAAAGAGGACUUGUGUACAAACAAUUUAGAAGAAAUAAUUGUGUGAAAACAGAAGCAGUAAUUGUCCAUCAUGGAUGAUAAAAUAAUCAACUUCACAAUCAACGAAUUCUGGAGCGGAUGGGACUUGGCCUCGCUGCUAGUUGCAGGAGCCGCCAUAGUGAUUCUCGGGCUCGGCUUCAUAUUUCUAAUUUUCAUCCUCUGCAAAGGACUGAGAAGAAAUCAAUGGCUCAAGACAUUUCAACACUGGAUCAAAAACACAUGGUGGAUUCCAAAACUGAGAUUCCACAGAAAAAGCUGUCCGACAGUGAAUAAAGAAAUCGAGACAAUUUCCAACAGAAGAAGCAUCGUGGGGUCCGAGGCUACUCGAGCAAAACCAAAACGAACCAAAUCCAGAACCACUAUACAACCCGACUCAUCCACAUCGCGUGUAAACAGCCACACAUACAAUCUGCGUGGAAGCAACCGAACAGCCAGGAGAAUUUGCAUAUGCGAAAACUGCUCGGGCCACUAGGGGCACGCGACAGGAGAGGACAGUCUCAUUACAGACAAUGAGGCGCAAUUUCGGGACAGAUACCAACUUCCUAAGCGGAGCAACAGUGUGAUGGUGACUUCUGGUACAUCCUACAUCCAAGGACGUCCUGACAGUCCCGGAGGCUGACGACGUCCCUUCCUGAGAUGACGGAACUUUCGUCGAUUUCCAACACGGCCGUUGCCCUCCGAGAAUACUGGCCAGAUGUUUUCGCGAAGAAUCAGUCCAGCUGACAGCAGCGCAUUAGCAAAUAACAGAUUCAGAGGAGGAACUCCAAGACAGGAAGACGAAUUGAAGCCAACUUCAAUUAUCUUUCACUUUUUUAUACUUUAAAAUAUUCCUCCUAAAAACUCUAAGACCCUAUCAGCUAGCUGUGGGUCUGUCCGUCCCAAUAUAACACAUCAACAUUAUAGAAACCAAACAAUUACUUUUCAUGAAAGUUGUCUUGAAGGACGCAUAUGUAAAGGAAAGCAGGAUGAAUAAAGGUUCUGAUGGUCUGUA